UACGUAGGGGGCAAGCGUUGUCCGGAUUUAUUGGGCGUAAAGCGCGUGUAGGCGGUUUGGUAGGUCCGCUGUGAAAACUCGAGGCUCAACCUCGAGACGCCGAUGGAAACCAUCUGACUAGAGUCCGGAAGAGGAGAGUGGAAUUCCUGGUGUAGCGGUGAAAUGCGCAGAUAUCAGGAAGAACACCCGUGGCUAAGGCGGCUCUCUAGUACGUGACUGACGCUGAGACGCGAAAGCGUGGGGAGCGAACAGG
rnacentral:rRNA from 1 species